rnacentral:rRNA from 1 species
ACACAUGCAAGUCGAGCGGAGACAGUGAGUAGCUUGCUAUGAGCUGUUUUAGCGGCGGACGGGUGAGUAACGCGUGAGCAACCUUUCCCAGACAGGGGAAUAACACACCGAAAGGUGUACUAAUACCGCAUAAGACCACGGGAUCACAUGGUUCUGGGGUAAAAGAUUUAUCGGUUUGGGGUGGGCUCGCGUCCGAUUAGGUAGUUGGUGAGGUAACGGCCCACCAAGCCGACGAUCGGUAGCCGACCUGAGAGGGUGAUCGGCCACAUUGGGACUGAGACACGGCCCAAACUCCUACGGGAGGCAGCAGUGGGGAAUAUUGGGCAAUGGGGGGAACCCUGACCCAGCAACGCCGCGUGGAGGAAGAAGGUUUUCGGAUCGUAAACUCCUGUCCUUGGAGACGAGUAGAAGACGGUAUCCAAGGAGGAAGCCCCGGCUAACUACGUGCCAGCAGCCGCGGUAAUACGUAGGGGGCAAGCGUUGUCCGGAAUAAUCGGGCGUAAAGGGCGCGUAGGCGGCUCGGUAAGUCUGGAGUGAAAGUCCUGCUUUUAAGGUGGGAAUUGCUUUGGAUACUGUCGGGCUUGAGUGCAGGAGAGGUUAGUGGAAUUCCCAGUGUAGCGGUGAAAUGCGUAGAGAUUGGGAGGAACACCAGUGGCGAAGGCGACUAACUGGACUGUAACUGACGCUGAGGCGCG